ACUCAAAGUAGAAAUUACCUACUAAAUAAAUUAGGUAGGUUGGUAGGUAACUCAAAAGAGUACCUAGGUAUUUUAUAUACCGUUGUAACUUGCAGAAGAAAAGUAAGUACCUAAGUAUUAAAUAACUGGGUGUUAAUAAUAUAUUAUGAUUAUUUGAAAUUUUAAAAACUUAAAACACGGUUCUUCGAUUACAAUUUAUAAGAAAUUUCAAAUAAUUGACGACAGACGCUAGGUACAUUUAUUUAGAUGAUUUAUACACAAAGAAUUACUUAAUCAUAAUUCACAGUAAAAUAUAGGUAUAGGCGUAUAGCCUGCCGUAAACGAUUCGUAUUACGUAUUAACAUAAUAAACGUACCCUAACCUGUUUGAUUAUUCAGCAGUUACUCGUCAUCAGGGCUCUAUGCAUAAUGCAUCUACAGCUAUGUUAUUUAGCUGUUUGCCUCAUAAUGAUAUAUACUCAAAAAGCAUAAUCAAUAUUGUUCAAAUAUGAUCAUAGAACUACAGAUAAACCACGUGUUUAAAUUUUAUCUUUCUGGAUAAUCUGAUAAUAUUAUAAUUAUAGUAACUACUGCCUGUUAACUGACUGGUUGUUGUAAAUUGUAAAAAGUAUUAAAAAUUGAAUAGGUAUCGCUAAAACAUUAAAAAAUGAAUAAUGACAAACAAACUGAACAGGUUAAAUGUAUUGUGUUGGAAGGUUAUGGCGGGUACGAUAAAAUAAAAAUAAGAUGUCAACCACUUGAAUUUUUAGGAUCAACAAGUGUAUGUGUUAAGGUUCAAUUGUGCGGUGUCAACUUUAGUGAUAUAUAUACUAGACAGGGUUUUCUUCGUCAAUUAAAAACUCCCCGUGUGCUCGGAGCAGAAUGUUAUGGCACAAUAGAAUCUAUUGGAAAUGAAGUGAACAAUUUUCAAUAUGGAGACCGAGUAGUGUGUUAUGUUUGGACAGGAGGACUGUUUGGAGAAAAGGUUAUAGUUCCAGCAAAAAAUUGUUUUUUAGUUCCGGAGGGUAUUAGUGGUCAAGACGCUGUUGCUCUACCAGCCAAUUAUUUGACUGCAUACUUGAGUAUUUUUACUAUGGGUAAUAUACAACCCGGAGAUACUGUUCUUAUACAUUCAAUUGCGGGAGGUGUUGGAUGUGCUGUAACUCAAUUAGCAAAAACUGUGAAAGAUGUAGUUGUUGUUGGAACUGCUUCAGCAUCUAAACAUGAACAAUUAAAAGAAAAUGGAGUUUCUCACGUGCUACACCAUGAAAACUAUGAGACUCUGGCUAAAAAUGUAUCACCACAGGGUUAUGAUUUAAUUAUAGAUAGUAUUGGUGGACCAAAUAUUGAGAUUAGUCAAAAAUUACUUAAACCUUGUGGUCGUUUAGUCAUCAUUGGUGGAAGUUGUUAUAUUAAUGGAGAAACAUUACAAAUUGUAAGAUCAUUAGCUAUGAAGUGGCAAACAAAAAACUUGGUACCUCAAUCAAUGAUAGAACAAAAUAUUACUGUUAGUGGUCUUCAUUUGGGUAUGCUGUUUGAUUCUAACCCAAACAAAAUUCAUUAUAUCAUGGAAGAAUUAUUUAAAAUGUUGAAGAAUAAAUUAAUAAAACCAACAAUUCAUGAGAUCUUACCGUUUGAUAAUGUAAGUAAGAAAAAUGUAUACAAAUAUAUGUUCACUAUAAAUCAGACUUAAAAUUAAAGAGAGAAUGUUUGUAAGUUUGUAAUUACACAUUUUUUUUUGUUUAGUAAUGCAUAUUGUAGAUAAAAUUGUAAGCCAGUUUUGCAAUUGAUAUGACGUAAAAGCAGUUAUUGAUGCUCAAACAAUAUUAGCAAAGAGAAUGAAUUUUGGAAAAGUCUUAUUAAAAUUAAAUCAAUAACAAGAAAAUAUCUUCAAGUUUAUUUGAUUUUAUAACUGUCAUAAAUGCAUAUCCGCUCUUUUCAUUAUAUAAUAUAGGUAUAUUUUAUUUUAAGUAUUUAUAGUUUAUAGUUUUCUAAAAGAAUAAUCAUUGUAAUUUUAAAAUUGGGUUAUUUGUUUAAUUUAAUUAAUAGAUAAUUAAUUAAUUUUUUAUUUUUACAUAAUUUGUAUAAAAAAAAAAAAUUACAUUCAUCUUUAAAAUGUAAGACUAUAAUUUUAUUUGGAGGCCAAUUAUCUCUGUUCACUUUAUUUCAAACUGGUUUGCUCUAAGUUAGAGUAUGGUGUAGAAGUUCGCACCUCUACCGAGCCAAAGACCAACUACUAAGGUUGAAACGGGUUCAAAAUAAAUUUCUUUCUUAUGCAGUUUUCUUAUCGAAAAUUGACCACAAUUACUCACUUGUUUGUCAAGAUUUAAAUAUGCGAACACUAUCUCUUCUAAAUGACUCCCUUAAUGCUCCUAUGUUUCUAUCUAGCAUCCAGUUCUGUAUUCCAUUCUAUUCUACCAGAGAUCACAUUUCUGUUUAAGUUCCAUUUUACUCUUCCUCUUAUAAGUGCAAUCACCCUAUGCAUUGUAUGCUUUGAAAUUUUAAUAAUGCGUUGUAACUGUUGCUUACUUCUUGGGCUACAUAUGUACAUAUAUUAUUCAUAUUUAUAAUUAUUUUAUUAUUUCUGUCUAUUUUUAUCAAAUUUAACUUUUGUUUAAUUGCUAUAUAAUUAUUUAAUAUUGAAAAUAUUGUUAAAUUUUUUUUUGUCAAAUUUCCCAUUUGGGAGUGAAAAAAAAAACUUAAAUAUUAAAUCAUAUUUUAUAUUUUAUAUAAUUAUAAUAAAUUAUGUUGGAAUUGUUGUACACGAUA